AUGAAAUGAAUGUCGAAAAGGGUUGUAGCUGGCCUCUUGAGGCAUGUGCACACCUUGAUCGCACAUCCACAUCUCACACCUGUGCACAACCUGUAGCUUGGGAUGAUUACAAUGCUGGGAACAGUGUUGAAAGCCCUUGCUAUGAAAUUUUACACACACAUAUUAAAAGUUAUAGAAUGUUAUAUAGCGUGUAACAGCGCAAAUAAAUAUA
rnacentral:misc_RNA from 1 species